rnacentral:misc_RNA from 1 species
UCAAACUUGGUCAUUUAGAGGAAGUAAAAGUCGUAACAAGGUCUCCGUUGGUGAACCAGCGGAGGGAUCAUUAACGAGUUAUUAACUCCAUAAAACCCUAUGUGAACUUUACCUAGUUGCCUCGGCGUGAGCCCGCGCUUGCUCCGGAGCCGCCAUGCGCGGCCCCGGGCGGCGCACCUACGGCCCGCCAGAGGACCGCUAAACUCUUGUUUAUACUGAUGGAACUCUGAAUUCUUAACUAAAUAAGUUAAAACUUUCAACAACGGAUCUCUUGGUUCUGGCAUCGAUGAAGAACGCAGC